UCUGAAUCGCUGUGGAAGCGAGACGCGUUAUUUUAAAGUUAAAAGUUUCAUCUCGUUAACAGUUUUGCGUUGAGUGUUCUCGGUUGGUGCCUGUGAAGUGCAUUUUGGAAACAUGAUCGCGUGAUUUGUGACUCAAACCCUAUAAUUAUCUUAAAGACUUAGCAGAAUGCGGUCUUCAGCGUCUUUCGCGGCGCGCGUGUUCGCAGGAGUGGCCUUGGCGUUGUCGGUGGCGGCGCGCGUGGGCCACGGCCGCCGCGACUACAAGGACUCCGAGCGCCUCAACGCGGACAUCUCGCUGUGGAUCGACGAGCGACAAGUGAGGAUGUUCAGUGGUAUAUCAAUGCAAGUGUUCGCCAUAGUAAACGGGAAUAUAUCGCCCUACAUCCUGGAUCCCAACUUUUCGCACAAACUGCCCAUCAUCCCCUCAGAAGUGGGCUAUGUGAACUUCACGUGGCGGUCGAAGAAGCGGUACUAUUAUGACUUCGACACGCUAACGUCUUCGGACCCCAAGGUCUUAAAGCCGCCGUUACUAUCCAUAAAGACUAAGGGGAGGGUGCCCAAAACUCCUAAAGAAUUCAGCAUAUUUUUGCCAUGCAUGGGCAACGUGAGCGGCGUGGCCACGUUCGAGAUCGGCCUGGAGCUCAAGAACCACCGCGGCAACCCUCUCAAGGGCACCCCCCUAAGGUUAAACCUAAAGAAGGAGUGCGCACAGAGAGGUGUGUAUUUAGAAAGGACAGGUCCCGAUCCGGAAUGUGAUAAAAAGUGUGCGAACCAAGGCUGGUGUAAUAGCGAGAAAAUAUGCCAAUGCCCCGAGGGAUACAUGGGGCAACACUGUCGCACCGCGUUAUGUUAUCCCCAAUGUAUGAACGGGGGCAAUUGUACCGCGCCUGGAGUGUGCUCGUGCCCGCCUGGGUAUCAGGGACGACACUGCGAAGGAGGAAUAUGUUCACAGAAAUGUUUAAAUGGGGGCAAGUGUAUACAGAAGGAUACGUGCGAAUGCCCUAAAGGGUAUUUCGGUCGUCGGUGUGAAUUUUCAAAAUGCGUGAUCCCCUGUCUAAACGGGGGUAGGUGUAAAGGAGUGAACAAGUGCCGCUGCCCCGCGGGCUCGGGAGGCAACCACUGCGAGGUGGGGCGGCGGGCGGGCGAGUGCGUGCGCGCUUGCAGGCACGGCGUGUGUCGCGCCGGCGCGUGUCGCUGCGAGCCCGGCUGGCGCGGCCGCUACUGCCAUCGCACAUACGGUGCGUAUAUCCUGACACAGUGGUUGUAAUAAGGCGGUGGAACAAGUGCCGCUGCCCCGCGGGCUCGGGAGGCAACCACUGCGAGGUGGGGCGGCGGGCGGGCGAGUGCGUGCGCGCUUGCAGGCACGGCGUGUGUCGCGCCGGCGCGUGUCGCUGCGAGCCCGGCUGGCGCGGCCGCUACUGCCAUCGCACAUACGGAUCAUCAGAGGAAUCGGGAGAGUUUAAGAGGCCACGAUGAAAUGCAAUACACUUGUAGAAGCAGAACAAUCUACUUAAUAACUAACUUGUGAUUUAAUUAAUUUUAUUUUUAUUAAGUUUUAUACAUAUUAUGUAUUAAUUACUAAAUUAGUCAUUUAGCUUGUAAGGUUAGAUUUUAUUUAAAAUUAUAAAUAUAAAUUACUUACUUAAAUAUAAGGUGACAAAUUUUG